rnacentral:rRNA from 1 species
GGGUUGUGAGGUUAAGCGACUAAGCGUACACGGUGGAUGCCCUGGCAGUCAGAGGCGAUGAAGGACGUGCUAAUCUGCGAUAAGCGUCGGUAAGGUGAUAUGAACCGUUAUAACCGGCGAUUUCCGAAUGGGGAAACCCAGUGUGAUUCGUCACACUAUCAUUAACUGAAUCCAUAGGUUAAUGAGGCGAACCGGGGGAACUGAAACAUCUAAGUACCCCGAGGAAAAGAAAUCAACCGAGAUUCCCCCAGUAGCGGCGAGCGAACGGGGAGCAGCCCAGAGCCUGAAUCAGUGUGUGUGUUAGUGGAAGCGUCUGGAAAGGCGCGCGAUACAGGGUGACAGCCCCGUACACAAAAAUGCACAUACUGUGAGCUCGAUGAGUAGGGCGGGACACGUGGUAUCCUGUCUGAAUAUGGGGGGACCAUCCUCCAAGGCUAAAUACUCCUGACUGACCGAUAGUGAACCAGUACCGUGAGGGAAAGGCGAAAAGAACCCCGGCGAGGGGAGUGAAAAAGAACCUGAAACCGUGUACGUACAAGCAGUGGGAGCACAGAGCAAUCUGUGUGACUGCGUACCUUUUGUAUAAUGGGUCAGCGACUUAUAUUCUGUAGCAAGGUUAACCGAAUAGGGGAGCCGAAGGGAAACCGAGUCUUAACUGGGCGUUAAGUUGCAGGGUAUAGACCCGAAACCCGGUGAUCUAGCCAUGGGCAGGUUGAAGGUUGGGUAACACUAACUGGAGGACCGAACCGACUAAUGUUGAAAAAUUAGCGGAUGACUUGUGGCUGGGGGUGAAAGGCCAAUCAAACCGGGAGAUAGCUGGUUCUCCCCGAAAGCUAUUUAGGUAGCGCCUCGUGAAUUCAUCUCCGGGGGUAGAGCACUGUUUCGGCAAGGGGGUCAUCCCGACUUACCAACCCGAUGCAAACUGCGAAUACCGGAGAAUGUUAUCACGGGAGACACACGGCGGGUGCUAACGUCCGUCGUGAAGAGGGAAACAACCCAGACCGCCAGCUAAGGUCCCAAAGUCAUGGUUAAGUGGGAAACGAUGUGGGAAGGCCCAGACAGCCAGGAUGUUGGCUUAGAAGCAGCCAUCAUUUAAAGAAAGCGUAAUAGCUCACUGGUCGAGUCGGCCUGCGCGGAAGAUGUAACGGGGCUAAACCAUGCACCGAAGCUGCGGCAGCGACGCUUANNNNNNNNNNNNNNNNNNNNNNNNNNNNNNNNNNNNNNNNNNNNNNNNNNNNNNNNNNNNNNNNNNNNNNNNNNNNNNNNNNNNNNNNNNNNNNNNGGGAAGGUGUGCUGUGAGGCAUGCUGGAGGUAUCAGAAGUGCGAAUGCUGACAUAAGUAACGAUAAAGCGGGUGAAAAGCCCGCUCGCCGGAAGACCAAGGGUUCCUGUCCAACGUUAAUCGGGGCAGGGUGAGUCGACCCCUAAGGCGAGGCCGAAAGGCGUAGUCGAUGGGAAACAGGUUAAUAUUCCUGUACUUGGUGUUACUGCGAAGGGGGGACGGAGAAGGCUAUGUUGGCCGGGCGACGGUUGUCCCGGUUUAAGCGUGUAGGCUGGUUUUCCAGGCAAAUCCGGAAAAUCAAGGCUGAGGCGUGAUGACGAGGCACUACGGUGCUGAAGCAACAAAUGCCCUGCUUCCAGGAAAAGCCUCUAAGCAUCAGGUAACAUCAAAUCGUACCCCAAACCGACACAGGUGGUCAGGUAGAGAAUACCAAGGCGCUUGAGAGAACUCGGGUGAAGGAACUAGGCAAAAUGGUGCCGUAACUUCGGGAGAAGGCACGCUGAUAUGUAGGUGAAGUCCCUCGCGGAUGGAGCUGAAAUCAGUCGAAGAUACCAGCUGGCUGCAACUGUUUAUUAAAAACACAGCACUGUGCAAACACGAAAGUGGACGUAUACGGUGUGACGCCUGCCCGGUGCCGGAAGGUUAAUUGAUGGGGUCAGCGCAAGCGAAGCUCUUGAUCGAAGCCCCGGUAAACGGCGGCCGUAACUAUAACGGUCCUAAGGUAGCGAAAUUCCUUGUCGGGUAAGUUCCGACCUGCACGAAUGGCGUAAUGAUGGCCAGGCUGUCUCCACCCGAGACUCAGUGAAAUUGAACUCGCUGUGAAGAUGCAGUGUACCCGCGGCAAGACGGAAAGACCCCGUGAACCUUUACUAUAGCUUGACACUGAACAUUGAGCCUUGAUGUGUAGGAUAGGUGGGAGGCUUAGAAGUGUGGACGCCAGUCUGCAUGGAGCCGACCUUGAAAUACCACCCUUUAAUGUUUGAUGUUCUAACGUUGACCCGUAAUCCGGGUUGCGGACAGUGUCUGGUGGGUAGUUUGACUGGGGCGGUCUCCUCCUAAAGAGUAACGGAGGAGCACGAAGGUUGGCUAAUCCUGGUCGGACAUCAGGAGGUUAGUGCAAUGGCAUAAGCCAGCUUGACUGCGAGCGUGACGGCGCGAGCAGGUGCGAAAGCAGGUCAUAGUGAUCCGGUGGUUCUGAAUGGAAGGGCCAUCGCUCAACGGAUAAAAGGUACUCCGGGGAUAACAGGCUGAUACCGCCCAAGAGUUCAUAUCGACGGCGGUGUUUGGCACCUCGAUGUCGGCUCAUCACAUCCUGGGGCUGAAGUAGGUCCCAAGGGUAUGGCUGUUCGCCAUUUAAAGUGGUACGCGAGCUGGGUUUAGAACGUCGUGAGACAGUUCGGUCCCUAUCUGCCGUGGGCGCUGGAGAACUGAGGGGGGCUGCUCCUAGUACGAGAGGACCGGAGUGGACGCAUCACUGGUGUUCGGGUUGUCAUGCCAAUGGCACUGCCCGGUAGCUAAAUGCGGAAGAGAUAAGUGCUGAAAGCAUCUAAGCACGAAACUUGCCCCGAGAUGAGUUCUCCCUGACUCCUUGAGAGUCCUGAAGGAACGUUGAAGACGACGACGUUGAUAGGCCGGGUGUGUAAGCGCAGCGAUGCGUUGAGCUAACCGGUACUAAUGAACCGUGAGGCUUAACCUUACAACGCCGAAGGUGUUU